rnacentral:rRNA from 1 species
CGCGUAGGCGGUUGUUUAAGUCGGAUGUGAAAGCCCCGGGCUCAACCUGGGAACUGCAUUCGAUACUGGGCAACUAGAGUACGAGAGAGGGAGGUAGAAUUCCACGUGUAGCGGUGAAAUGCGUAGAUAUGUGGAGGAAUACCGGUGGCGAAGGCGGCCUCCUGGCUCGAUACUGACGCUGAGGUACGAAAGCGUGGGGAGCAAACAGGAUUAGAUACCCUGGUAGUCC